GCAACGGUGAAACUCAAAGGAAUUGACGGGGGCCCACACAAGCGGAGGAACAUGUGGUUUAAUUCGAUGAUACGCGAGGAACCUUACCCGGGCUCAAACGACACAGGAAUACUUUUGAAAGGAGGUAGCUCUUAGGAGCCUGUGUCGAGGUGCUGCAUGGUUGUCGUCAGCUCGUGCCGUGAGGUGUCGGCUUAAGUGCCAUAACGAGCGCAACCCCCAUCGCCAGUUACCAGCAAGUCAAGUUGGGGACUCUGGCGAGACUGCCGGCGCAAGCUGUGAGGAAGGCGGGGAUGACGUCAAAUCAGCACGGCCCUUACGUCCGGGGCGACACACGUGUUACAAUGGCAGGUACAGAGAGAAGCAAUGCGGCGACGCAAAGCGGAACUUGAAAGCCUGUCUCAGUUCGGAUUGGAGUCUGCAACUCGACUCCAUGAAGCUGGAUUCGCUAGUAAUCGCGCAUCAGCCAUGGCGCGGUGAAUACGUUCCCGGGCCUUGUACACACCGCCCGUCAAGCCAUGGAAGCCGGGAGUGCCUGAAGUGUGCAACCGCAAGGAGCGCCCUAAGGUAAAACUGGUGACUGGGGCUAAGUCGUAACAAGGUAACCGU
rnacentral:rRNA from 1 species